rnacentral:rRNA from 1 species
AGAGUUUGAUCAUGGCUCAGAACGAACGCUGGCGGCAUGCCUAACACAUGCAAGUCGAACGAAGGCUUCGGCCUUAGUGGCGCACGGGUGAGUAACACGUGAAUCACAUGCCCUUCAGUGGGGAAUAACCGGUCGAAAGGCUGACUAAUACCCCAUGGUCUCGCAAGAGUAAAGGUGGCCAGCAAUGGCUGCCGCUGGAGGAUUGGUUCGCGUCCCAUCAGCUUGUUGGCGGGGUAACGGCCCACCAAGGCUACGACGGGUACCUGGUCUGAGAGGACGAUCAGGCACACUGGAACUGAGACACGGUCCAGACACCUACGGGUGGCAGCAGUCGAGAAUAAUUCACAAUGGGGGCAACCCUGAUGGUGCAACGCCGCGUGGAGGAUGACGGUCUUCGGAUUGUAAACUCCUGUCAUCGGGGAGUAAGACCUGGCCGUUAAUAGCGGACAGGGUUGAUAGUACCCGAAGAGGAAGGGACGGCUAACUUCGUGCCAGCAGCCGCGGUAAUACGAAGGUCCCCGAGCGUUGUUCGGAAUCACUGGGCGUAAAGGGAGCGUAGGCGGCUCGGUAAGUUAAGAUGUGAAAAUCCCGGGGCUUCAACCCCGGAACUGCAUCCGAUACUGCCGUGCUAGAGGAUUGGAGAGGCAGCUGGAAUUCUUGGUGUAGCAGUGAAAUGCGUGGAGAUCAAGAGGAACACUCGUGGCGAAAGCGAGCUGCUGGACAAUAUCUGACGCUGAGGCUCGAACGCCAGGGUAGCGAAAGGGAUUAGAUACCCCUGUAGUCCUGGCAGUAAACGGUGUGCGCUUGGUGUGAGGGGAAUCGACCCCCCUCGUGCCGGAGCCAACGCGUUAAGCGCACCGCCUUGGAAGUACGGUCGCAAGGACUAAAACUCAAAGGAAUUGACGGGGAACCGCACAAACGGUGGAGUAUGUGGCUUAAUUCGAUGCAACGCGAAGAACCUUACCAAGGCUUGACAUGCAUCUCUAAGCGCGUGAAAGCGCGUGACCAUUUAUGGGAUUUGCACAGGUGCUGCAUGGCCGUCGUCAGCUCGUGUCGUGAGAUGUUGGGUUAAGUCCCGCAACGAGCGCAACCCUUGUGAACAGUUGCCAGCGGGUAAUGCCGGGAACUCUGUUCAGACUGCCCAGAUCAACUGGGUGGAAGGUGGGGACGACGUCAGGUCAGUAUGGCCCUUACGCCUUGGGCCGCACACGUACUACAAUGCCCAGCACAAUGAGAACCGAUGCCGCGAGGUGGAGGAAAUCUGUAAAACUGGGCCCAGUUCGGAUUGGAGGCUGCAACUCGCCUCCAUGAAGUCGGAAUCGCUAGUAAUGCCGUAUCAUCUACGACGGCGUGAAUACGUUCCCGGGUCUUGUACACACCGCCCGUCACAUCAUGGAAGCCGGUCGCACCCGAAGCGCAUGCGCCAACUUAGCAAUAAGAGGCAGUGUUCUAAGGUAAGGCUGGUAACUGGGAUGAAGUCGUAACAAGGUA